rnacentral:rRNA from 1 species
GAUGAACGCUAGCUACAGGCUUAACACAUGCAAGUCGAGGGGAAACGGCAUUGAGUGCUUGCACUCUUUGGACGUCGACCGGCGCACGGGUGAGUAACGCGUAUCCAACCUUCCCAUUACUGUGGGAUAACCUGCCGAAAGGCAGACUAAUACCGCAUAGUCUUCGAUGACGGCAUCAGAUUUGAAGUAAAGAUUUAUCGGUAAUGGAUGGGGAUGCGUCUGAUUAGCUUGUUGGCGGGGUAACGGCCCACCAAGGCAACGAUCAGUAGGGGUUCUGAGAGGAAGGUCCCCCACAUUGGAACUGAGACACGGUCCAAACUCCUACGGGAGGCAGCAGUGAGGAAUAUUGGUCAAUGGACGGAAGUCUGAACCAGCCAAGUAGCGUGCAGGAUGACGGCCCUAUGGGUUGUAAACUGCUUUUGUAUGGGGAUAAAGUUAGGGACGUGUCCCUAUUUGCAGGUACCAUACGAAUAAGGACCGGCUAAUUCCGUGCCAGCAGCCGCGGUAAUACGGAAGGUCCAGGCGUUAUCCGGAUUUAUUGGGUUUAAAGGGAGCGUAGGCUGGAGAUUAAGUGUGUUGUGAAAUGUAGACGCUCAACGUCUGAAUUGCAGCGCAUACUGGUUUCCUUGAGUACGCACAACGUUGGCGGAAUUCGUCGUGUAGCGGUGAAAUGCUUAGAUAUGACGAAGAACUCCGAUUGCGAAGGCAGCUGACGGGAGCGCAACUGACGCUUAAGCUCGAAGGUGCGGGUAUCAAACAGGAUUAGAUACCCUGGUAGUCCGCACAGUAAACGAUGGAUGCCCGCUGUUGUACCUGGUAUCAGCGGU